rnacentral:lncRNA from 1 species
ACGCCAAACCCACCUGUGACCAUCCCAAACCCACCUGUGGCCACCCCAAACCCACCUGUGACCACCCCAAACCCACCUGUGACCACCCCAAACCCCCUCAAACCCUGGGGACUGGCCCCAAACCCUGGGGACAUCAUAGGGGCUGUCCUCAAACCCUGGGGACUGUCCCCAAACCCUGGGGACAUCAUAGGGGCUGUCCUCAAACCCUGGGGACUGUCCCCAAACCCUGGGGACAUCAUAGGGGCUGUCCUCAAACCCUGGGGACUGUCCCCAAACCCUGGGGACAUCAUGGGCCUGUCCCCAGACCCUGGGGACAUCAUGGGGACUGUCCCCAACCCUGAGGACAUUAUAGAGACUGUCCCCAAACCUGGAGGCAUCAUAGGGACUGUCCCCAAACCCACGUGUGACCACCCCAAACCCAGCCACGCUCAUUCUAAACCCAACCAUGACCAACCAAACCCAACCAUGACCACCUCACACCCGGCCAUGGCCAUUCUAAACCCGACCAUGACCACCCCAACCCCAGCUGUGGCCACCCCAACCCCAGCUGUGGCCACCCCAACCCCAGCUGUGGCCACCCCAACCCCAGCUGUGGCCACCCCAACCCCA